ACUGCACCUGAUUUGGACACUUCAUCAUCAACUCCUUAAAUCUGUUCCAUGCCUCGUGAUAGCUCUCUCCAUCUCUUUGUUGGAAGGUUUGAGUUUCCUGUCUGAUUUU
rnacentral:snoRNA from 1 species